UUGGAGGGCAAGUCUGGUGCCAGCAGCCGCGGUAAUUCCAGCUCCAAUAGCGUAUAUUAAAGUUGUUGCAGUUAAAAAGCUCGUAGUUGAAUUUCGGGAUUGACGUAAUGGUCAUGCCUUAAGGGGUAUGAACUGUUACUGUUGAUUUCUCACCUUCUGGAGAAACUUGAUGUCCUUUAUUGGGUGUCUUGCGGAUCCAGGACCUUUACCUUGAAAAAAAUUAGAGUGUUUAAAGCAGGCAUUUUUUGCUCGAAUACAUUAGCAUGGAAUAAUAG
rnacentral:rRNA from 1 species